rnacentral:misc_RNA from 1 species
UGAUGAAGCAGUUGGUAAUGAUCCUGAGGAACAGGGAGAUUUGGCCCUUGAGGUUUCUACUCCUCCAGAAAUCAAGCAAGUUUUUAUUUGUUCUGUAAGUUGCAAGUGUUGUUUUGGCAUGAAGCAUAUCAAAACAUGUCAUUCUAGUGUUAUUUGUCAAUUGUUGGUGAUCCUUUGGGUAUCAAUUGGCUUCAAAUUUGAUGUCAUAUUGAUAUGCUUUGGUAACUAGGUCAUAAUAAUGUGACCUUAGUUGAACUGUAUAUUUCAAUUUUUUCAUGAAUUAUUUCUAUCUUUUCAGCUAGAGGGAUAAACCUUGAUGGAUGGAAACCAGUUGUCAUGCCUGAACUGUAAAGCAAGUGCAGGUCAAUUGAUUUGAAUGAUUAAUCUCUUAUAUGACAAAAAUAAUGGACCAUUUGGAUGACAUUUGGCAUAUAAACUACUAGUGGAAUAUUUUGGUGAUUUAUGAGUUGUUAAUCAGAUAAAGGUAAAACUAAUAAGUUAAGAAAAAUGUCCUUGCAUUGCAUGGUAAAUUCAGAAGUGCACAUAAAUUCGUCGUUGUGACUUGUAAAUUUGCAUGGCAGGCUACUUAUGCUGCAUUCAUGGGUUUGAUGUGUUGUUUGUGUUGCUUAAUUUAGUGGUUUAUUUUUAUUUUACUGUUUAUUUGGCAAAUGAGAUGUUUACAAGGGCAAUCUAAAUGUUUAUCAAGAGAAAGAGUUGGAUAUGCACAUGAAAGAGAGGUCUCGUAAAGAAGGCAGGUGCAAUAUGUUAAAUGAUAAGUGAAACUGGCAAUUAUUAGCUUUGAUGACUCCUGUAAAUUGUGAAUGAGAAAAUUUAGUUUUGAGGAGUGCUAGGGUUUUCUUUGUAGUGUUCUACAUGGACUGCCAAACUUGAAGCCCCUUCAACUUUACACUGCAAUGUUUUGUCACAUCAGCAUGUUUUUACAUGUUGUAGGAUGAAGAGGGUGGAUUGAGCGAAUCUGGGAAAGAGUUGAAGAAGCUUCUUAAAAAAGCUGCUGGACCUAGUGAUUCAGAUGAAGAUGAUGACAACAAUGCAAGUUUUAGACAUGGCUAAUUGUAUUACCUUGCUGUUGAUGACCUAAGAGCAUGCUUAUGUGACUUAGAGAUAUGUGUUUCAUGUUUGCCUUAGAGAUUUGUGUUUCAUGUUUGCCUUUAAUGGAUGAAGAUGACUUAAAGAAGCUUCUACUAUCUCAUGAUAUUAUGAAGUGUACUUUCUUAAGGAUGCUGCAUUUGCUAUCCUAUAUUGAGAUGUGUGCAUCAUUUGUGAUGGAUGAAGAUGUACCGACUCCAAAGCAGAAGGAUGCACCUAGGGAGGGAGCCUGAUGACAAUAGUGCUGCAAAACCAAUGCCUUCUGGUU